AUGGAGUACCAGCCACUCGUCUCCGCGCUCGAUGCCCGCACCACGCCUGUCUCGCUCGAUGAUCUGUUUGCUAUGAUCAGCAACUUUGAUCAGCGGGUUGCCCUCUACCAAGGGGGCCACUCCGGCGGCGGCUUCAAGUCCUCCGCGAACGCGGCCAUGCGCGGCCGUGGUGGCGGCUCACGUCAUCGAGGGCGCGGCAGGGGCAGGCACAAUAGCGGCCCCAACAACAGCAGCAGCAACUCCCGUGGCCACAACGGCGGCGGCGGCCGGCCCUCCUCCAACAACAACCAGGGCCGCCGCAACAACUCCAACAACAGAUCACGCCCCGAUGUCGUCCGGUGUCAAAUCUGUGGUAAACCUGGCCACUCAGCCAAGGACUGCUGGUACAGGUUUGACGAUGAUGAUGACUCCUCUCAGGACGAGAAGGUAGCUGCUACGGCCGAUGGAUCGUAUGGCGUGGACACCAACUGGUACAUGGACAGUGGUGCCACGGACCACAUCACCGGCGAACUCGAGAAGGUGACCAUGCGGGAGAAGUACCGCGGCCAAGAUCACAUCCACACCGCGAGUGGAGAAGGUAUGAAGAUCCGUCAUGUUGGUCACUCAAUUAUUAAAACCCCUCAUCGUCCAAUUCGUAUUUGA
rnacentral:rRNA from 1 species